UUAACUCCGUCUCAGAGGUCAGUGAUGGAUCAGAAUGACUGGUGUUGAAUUAACUCCGUCUCAGAGGUCAGUGAUGGAUCAGAAUGACUGGUGUUGAAUUAACUCCGUCUCAGAGGUCAGUGAUGGAUCAGAAUGACUGGUGUUGAAUUAACUCCGUCUCAGAGGUCAGUGAUGGAUCAGAAUGACUGGUGUUGAAUUAACUCCGUCUCAGAGGUCAGUGAUGGAUCAGAAUGACUGGUGUUGAAUUAACUCCGUCUCAGAGGUCAGUGAUGGAUCAGAAUGACUGGUGUUGAAUUAACUCCGUCUCAGAGGUCAGUGAUGGAUCAGAAUGACUGGUGUUGAAUUAACUCCGUCUCAGAGGUCAGUGAUGGAUCAGAAUGACUGGUGUUGAAUUAACUCCGUCUCAGAGGUCAGUGAUGGAUCAGAAUGACUGGUGUUGAAUUAACUCCGUCUCAGAGGUCAGUGAUGGAUCAGAAUGACUGGUGUUGAAUUAACUCCGUCUCAGAGGUCAGUGAUGGAUCAGAAUGACUGGUGUUGAAUUAACUCCGUCUCAGAGGUCAGUGAUGGAUCAGAAUGACUGGUGUUGAAUUAACUCCGUCUCAGAGAUCAGUGAUGGAUCAGAAUGACUGGUGUUGAAUUAACUCCGUCUCAGAGGUCAGUGAUGGAUCAGAAUGACUGGUGUUGAAUUAACUCCGUCUCAGAGGUCAGUGAUGCAGAGCAGAAGGGUGGUGAUGAUACAUACUGGGCAGCCGUGCAUCCUCCAUUAAAACUAAACAUCACUGUUUGGGAAAUUAAAUCAUUGUCUAGAAACCUUUUCUAUAUGCAACUAUUACAUUUAAAUGUACAUUUUAGUCAUUAAGCAGACUCUGUUAUCCUGACUUAGAGAUGUAGGUUAUUGUUACGAAUCCCUUUUGGCCCGACGGUCUAGGGGG